UGACGUUGGAUCUUCAGCACUGAUCCAGCGAUUUAGAGCUCUCCAGGACAGCUCCAUUAUGACAAAACAGUACUGCAAACUGGGGCAAGCUGCGAGAGAGCAAUGCCAGGAGGAAUAGAAACUGACCAGAACAUAACACAACCAGAGCAGACAGCUAUGUGAAGAGCAAAUUAAAUGAAUACUCCAUGCCAGAGGAAUAUUGGAGACCCGAGAUGGAGUACAACAGGACACAGUGCGAGCUGUGAUUUCUUCAAGAGGGUUACAAACAUGAUCCCUCAAAGUGCAAGAUUCUUACUGAUUCUCAGUCUUACUUUGUUCAGCAGCCCACAUGCUGCAUACCUGACUGGAGAUGGAGGAGACCAAGCAUGGACACAGACAAGCCCUGUUAAAGAGCACAAAGAGGUCCAUCCUGCUGGCAGCUUACUGUGGAGCAGGCAGACAUCAAGAGCCAAUACGGACACCACUACUCCAUCAAUAACUACUCCACCAAAAACACAAAACUCUUGGCCACCUACUCAUGGUGAGACUGGCCAUUCAUCACUAACCACCUUAUUAGCAACACUGGGGUCAUCUCCCAAUCCAGCCUCCCAGGCCCAGAGCAAGGUAUUCAAAGCACCAGCAUAUACAACGUCUCCUGACCAAAGGAGACGUGAAAUGAGGCUUGGCGAUAUCUGGGUAAUGGGGGAGCCCAAAGCUACUGCUCAAAGAUCAGAUGACACAGGUUUGAAACAAAAGCAAACAGACCUAUUGACUACUCUACAGGAUGAUAGAAGAAUGGUAGAGGAGUUCACCAGGAGGCCACCUCACCUUGGUACCAAUUCCCCUAGAGACAUUUUGAAACUAGACUCUAUGCCCAAUCGGACAAGUCCUGGCUUGGACAAAGUGCAUGAAGUUCCAUAUGAGAAAAAAGAUAGUCGGAGUUCCUUAAAAGAGGAGACAUCCAGACCGACUCCAGGAUUGCGAGCACGCACUCUUAUUCCAG
ensembl:lncRNA